rnacentral:rRNA from 1 species
UACGGAGGGUGCGAGCGUUGUCCGGAAUCAUUGGGCGUAAAGGGCGCGUAGGUGGCGGACAAGCGUGCGGUGAAAGCCUGGGGCUCAACCCCGGGUCGGCCGUGCGAACUGUUUUGCUUGAGCACUGUAGAGGCAGGCGGAAUUCCGGGUGUAGCGGUGGAAUGCGUAGAGAUCCGGAAGAACACCGGUGGCGAAGGCGGCCUGCUGGGCAGUAGCUGACACUGAGGCGCGACAGCGUGGGGAGCAAACAGG